rnacentral:antisense_RNA from 20 species
GAUAGCCAAAUAUCCGACCAGGGUUUAGAGUUGGUUCAGUAAUUACCCUUACAUCUGCUACAUCAGGGUCAUAAAGACCACCCCAAAACAGUGCUUUCGCCACCAAUAACCAAGCACCAAAACCCAAUAGCAAGAGAUGAAUACCGAUAAUGGUAGUCAUUUUGUCUUCAUCUUCCCA